rnacentral:rRNA from 1 species
CCCUUAGAUGUUCUGGGCCGCACGCGCGCUACACUGACGAAUGCAACGAGCUUAUAACCUUGCUCGAGAGAGCUGGGUAAUCUUCAUGAAAACGCAUCGUGAUGGGGAUAGGCGCUUGUAAUUAUUCGCCUUGAACGAGGAAUUCCUAGUAAGCGCGAGUCAUCAGCUCGCGCUGAUCACGUCCCUGCCCUUUGUACACACUGCCCGUCGCUCCUACCGAUUGAGCGGUCCGGUGAAUAGUUCGGACUGCGCCUUGUGCAUCCUGUGCUUGGCGCGGAAAGUUCAGUAAACCUUAUCGCUUAGAGGAAGGAGAAGUCGUAACA